rnacentral:rRNA from 1 species
GACGAACGCUGGCGGCGUGCUUAACACAUGCAAGUCGAACGGAAAGGCCCUGCUUUUGUGGGGUUCUCGAGUGGCGAACGGGUGAGUAACACGUGAGUAACCUGCCCUUGACUUUGGGAUAACUUCAGGAAACUGGGGCUAAUACCGGAUAGGAGCUCCUGCUGCAUGGUGGGGGUUGGAAAGUUUCGGCGGUUGGGGAUGUACUCGCGGCUUAUCAGCUUGUUGGUGGGGUAGUGGCUUACCAAGCCUUUGACGGAUAGCCUGCCUGGGAGGGUGAACGGCGACAUUGCGCCUACGGUAGGGACCAGACUCCAACGGGAGGCAGCAGUGGGGAGUAUUGCACAAUGGGCGGAAGCCUGAUGCGGAAACGCCGGGAGCGGGAUGACGGCCUUCGGGUGGUAAACCGCUUUCGACUGUGACGAAGCGUGAGUGACGGUACUGGGUAAAGAAGCACCGGCUAACUACGUG